rnacentral:rRNA from 1 species
ACUACGGGAGGCAGCAGUGAGGAAUAUUGGUCAAUGGGCGAGAGCCUGAACCAGCCAAGUCGCGUGAAGGAUGACGGACCUACGGGUUGUAAACUUCGUUUGCCAGGGAGCAAUAGGGUCCACGCGUGGGCUUAGCGAGAGUACCUGAAGAAAAAGCAUCGGCUAACUCAGUGCCAGCAGCCGCGGUAAUACGGAGGAUGCGAGCGUUAUCCGGAUUUAUUGGGGUAAAAGGGUGCGUAGGCGGAAUAUCAAGUCAGCGGUAAAAAUUCGGGGCUCAACCCCGUCGUGCCGUUGAAACUGAUGUUCUUGAGUGGACGAGAAGUAUGCGGAAUGCGUGGUGUAGCGGUGAAAUGCAUAGAUAUCACGCAGAACUCCGGUUGCGAAGGCAGCAUACCGGCGCCCAACUGACGCUGAAGCACGAAAGCGUGGGUAGCGAACAGGAUUAGAUACCCCAGUAGUC